rnacentral:rRNA from 1 species
UACGGAGGGGGCUAGCGUUGUUCGGAAUUACUGGGCGUAAAGCGCGCGUAGGCGGCUUUGUAAGUUAGAGGUGAAAGCCCGGGGCUCAACCCCGGAACUGCCUUUAAAACUGCAUCGCUUGAAUCCAGGAGAGGUGAGUGGAAUUCCGAGUGUAGAGGUGAAAUUCGUAGAUAUUCGGAAGAACACCAGUGGCGAAGGCGGCUCACUGGACUGGUAUUGACGCUGAGGUGCGAAAGCGUGGGGAGCAAACAGG